CAUGCGCUGCUACCAUGCAAGUCGAACGUGAUCCGCCCUUCGGGGUGGUGAAAGUGGCGCACGGGUGAGUAACGCGUGGAUAAUCUGCCCGAGGAUUUGGGAUAACAUCUCGAAAGGGGUGCUAAUACCGAAUAAGCCCACGGGGUCUACGGAUCUUGCGGGAAAAGGGGGGGACCUUCGGGCCUCCUGUCCUUGGAUGAGUCUGCGUACCAUUAGCUAGUUGGUGGGGUAAUGGCCUACCAAGGCGACGAUGGUUAGCUGGUCUGAGAGGAUGAUCAGCCACACUGGAACUGAGACACGGUCCAGACUCCUACGGGAGGCAGCAGUGGGGAAUUUUGCGCAAUGGGGGAAACCCUGACGCAGCAACGCCGCGUGGGUGAUGAAGGCCUUCGGGUCGUAAAGCUCUGUCUGGAGGGAAGAAAUGAUUGGGAGCUAAUACCUCUUGAUCUUGACGGUACCUCUGAAGGAAGCACCGGCUAACUCCGUGCCAGCAGCCGCGGUAAUACGGAGGGUGCAAGCGUUGUUCGGAAUUAUUGGGCGUAAAGCGCGUGUAGGCGGUCUUUUAAGUCUGAUGUGAAAGCCCCGGGCUCAACCUGGGAAGUGCAUUGGAAACUGGGAGGCUUGAGUACGGGAGAGGAGAGUGGAAUUCCUAGUGUAGGAGUGAAAUCCGUAGAUAUUAGGAGGAACACCGGUGGCGAAGGCGGCUCUCUGGACCGAUACUGACGCUGAGACGCGAAAGCGUGGGUAGCAAACAGGAUUAGAUACCCUGGUAGUCCACGCCGUAACGAUGAGUACUAAGGUGUUUGCGGGUAUUGACCCC
rnacentral:rRNA from 1 species